rfam:Aliifodinibius roseus strain DSM 21986 genome assembly, contig: Ga0134108_103
AUCUUGAGGGUAGGCCCUGCGCAGCCAGCUCCCUCUGAACUCCGUCAGGACCGGAAGGUAGCAGCGGUAGGAGGUCGUAGCGGCGUGAUGCAGGUUGCUUACCCUCUC